CAUCGAAGAGCUUUAUAGCUCAUUACCAUUAGACAAGGUGGAGUCUCUUGAAGAUCUGGUUACAGUCGGUCCUCCUGGUCUUGUCAAGGGUGCACCAGUUCACAGCUUGAAGACUUCUUUAGCAGCACCAGCAUCUCAAAUGCCUGCUACUACCACUUCUACUCAUGAGCAGGCUACUUCUGUUCAGGAGCAAGCUGAUGAUACAGCCUCACAGGAUGGUAAUUCUGAAAUUGUUGCUAGAACUCCCCCUGCCAAAAGUAGUAUGAUUGGUUCUUCUGCUGCAUCAACACCAACCAUGAAUCAUGCAACUCCCGUUUCUGUCUGUGUUCCAUCUCAUACAUUGUCUAGUGUUUCAGCCUCUUCAAUUCUUCCAAGUUCGAUUUCCAUUAGAGGUGUGCUGGAAAAUGCAGCUGCUGCCAUUCCUUC
rnacentral:misc_RNA from 1 species